AUAUGCAUUCGUGGUCCCGGGUCGGUACUGUUCUGGCCCGGAUCGACCGCCUAUGUUGCCCAAUCACCUGCAUUUUCUUCCACCGUCUUCUUCUUCUGCUUUCUUUCUACUGAUGCACCACUUUAAAUUCCUGGACGGCGUUACUCAUCUUCCUGAUUUUUCUUCGUCGCUUACUUCCACCGCCUCUCCUUCUUCUUUACCACCUUUAACUCCAACAGGGUUGGUUUAAUCACUCCACCUACCCUUCUUCUACCAAACAACUUUCCAUUUCCAGUUCCUUCCACCGUUCCUCCAAACCACCAAUAUUCUCUAAGAAACGAAUAAUCUUCGUCGGCUUCUCUGUCACAGGAAAACUUCAUCGCCGAUUGCCUCUCUCCAACGGCCUUCAGAAAUCUCCGUCGCUGACAACUUCUCAUGCACCGCUGUCGACAGCUUCUCACAGAAGGAUCCCUGGAACCAGUCGGUCCGCUUUCUCACAGCCUCCUCCACCACCAGCUUCGUACCCUACAGCUACACCGUCUCACCUCAGGUUCCUUUUUCUUCCUUUUUUCUGAUUUCUUUUGAAAUCGACAAUAUUGAUACCAAUUUCAUGGUUAUCAGUGUCGUUGGUGAUGGUGAUGAUGUUUUUUUGCUUAUUGUGGUUGUGUGUUGACUGAUGUCAACAAUCCAUCUUCGUCUACAUUUAUCGGAUGUCUCUUGAUUUGAUUAGUCUUAUGCCUUAGAUUUCUUAGGAACGAAAGUCUUGAUGAUGAACAACCCACUCAAAGUUAAUAGAAGGAUAGAAAUCAAAUGCUUAGAAUAAGCAAAAUCAUAGAAAUCAGAUUGCAGGCAAGUUGUUCGAUCAAAUGCCUAACAGGGAUUACUUUCUUUAUAUGCAUUUUUUUCAAUCAAUUACAUGUUUAAGUUUUAACUUUUGAAUUUUGAUGUUGGUUGCUUGUCAGUUGGUUCCGAUUCUGAGUACCACAUUUUAAUCCGGUAACGUUUAUCUACUUUACUCUUGCGUUUUCUUGAAUCGAUUCCUACAAUACUUGUAACAUGUUUUUUUGCUGGAUUUGUAGGUCCGAUUUUUUAAUAUGGAUUCGGUUAGUUUGAUAAUAUUAUUGUGGCUUAAAUAUGUUUUCUGUUGUUUUUCGUAAUCUGAGGUACUCUUCUUCUUUCUUCCAUUACAUCAGUUCCGAUUUCCUUAUCCGGUACAAUGUCAAUUCGUAAGUAUAUAGUUCAUAUACAUAUUCCCUCUAUUGAAAUGUACUGUUCAGAUUUUUGCUUUCUUAAGUUGAUUUCGUUUAUUGGCUAUGCUAAAUAGUAUGAUAUCGGUUGAUACUUAGCAAGAACAACAACAUUUUUACAUCUAUUUCUAGCUAUUUCAGGGGUUUCAUUUGUUAUCCAUAUCUACAAUGCACUUAAAUAGAUAAAUGCAACCACUUCAGUUCCACCCUGAAGAUCCUUCGUCUCCAUUUCAAAAAAGUUAUAACGUAACCAGAAACUGUCAAGCUCAAAACAGGAAUGUAGCACUAAUUCACGUGGUGGCAAGUAGAUCGAAAGGCAACAUUAAGAGGAAUAACCUUUUUGCAGUCUGAUAAAGUAACUUUUUUUUUUCUUUUUCAGGAAAGGAACCGAGCUUCAAUUUAAGAUUAAGAAUGUAGUCUGAUAGGCAACCUAUUAUUUUUUAAGUUUUCUUUAUUUUACUACCAUUUAAUGAAAAAAAAUAAUAAUAAUAAUAUUACUUUAUUUUGUUAAUGAAGGUUGAAAUAAGCACAAUGCUUGUGGAAACUGUUCAAUAUCUUAAAAUUUUCCAACUCCAAUUCAAGCUUUCUCUUGCUUACAAUGGUCUAGACAUUGGACUUGAUGGCGUGUGAGGAGAAGAUUUUGGGUCUGAAAAUGGAGCCUUCAAGGAAAAUUGCUAUAAUUUCGAUCAUUUUUCAUUUUAUAGACUUUACUUUUACUUUUAACUUUUAAAUUCAAUAUUAGAUUUGAUACUCGCUUUUUACAUGAACCUUUUUAUAUAAACUUGAGUUCAUAAAUGUGAGAAAUUUAUCAUUUCUAUUUGUUUCAUCUGUCAUACAGUUUAUUUGACUACAAAUAUCCCGAAUUUAAUUUUUAUUUUACUUGUUGUUUGUUUAUUUUAUUUUUAUAAAUAGCAUGAUUUCCUACUUCAUGUAUGCUCUUGAAACAAAGCCCAUAAAACCAUUUGACUAUACCUAAAAACUCAAAAAAUACUGAAGGCUUCAAACCCCAGCAAUGCGGGGAACUUCUCUGGUUAGCAUAAAGUGUUUGUAUUAUAUAUACAUAUAUUAAAAAUCAACGAUUUUCUCCAAUCUUUCUGAAUUUGUGCAAAAAUAUCGACAAAAAUGGUUUCUUGAUAUGUAAAAUUUGUUGCAUUUGUUGAUUUUUCAACUACUUCUUCAAUCAUGCUCCUACUCGGCAAAGAACGGCUUCAUUCCAGUUCCAUUGGAAUCGAGGAACGAAACACAAUCUGAUAGUCAUACCUUCACCCAAGACUCGAUAUCGAUAAAUACUCGAGGAUUCAAUGAUACAAUCGCGUGUUGGAAGACAAAGUCAGGAAGAGGAAUCGGCGUGUUGUGGAUGUCUGAUAUCUCUGUGCACAAGGAGAAGAAAAGAAUUCGACAAAUACGAUGAAGAUGAAGCCAACAUCAGCGUGUGUUGUGUCAACGGUUUGGUUUUUACACAAAAAAUGAUCAAAUAACAAACACAGGUGGUGGUAUGGAUGGAAAGUAUUAAGAAUCCUCGACCCUAAUCUAACUCCAAAAGGAUAUUCAUGUAUAUGGCUUGAUAAAACGGGAAUGCUCGAUAUCAACGAUAUGUGUAUUAUCUGGAAAUUAGAAAAAUCAUGGUAUCCAUUCUGUAAUUUAAGUGUAUUAUUGAGUUGAAUUUUGAAAUAAGCGGAUCUAGAGAGUUGUUAUUUGAAUUAAAAAGGGAAAGAUACUAUUAAUAAUUAUCAUGGAGUUAAUUAAGUUCAAAGAUUAUUUAUCUACUACAAGUCUGCAUUCAUAGAGAAGGUUUAGUAGGCUGCUAUUGUCUAAAUGCCAACAACUUUAAUGCCAAGUCAUACAUUUAAUUUAAAUGAAAACACAGUAUUUUUGGCUUCUAUUUUAAGUUAUGGUGUGAUGCACCUUUUAUUAUUAGAUUGGGACUCAUGUAAAUGUUAAGUGGACCAAAUAAUUUUAGUUACACCAUGGUGGGCUACUAAUUGUACAGGCUGAGCCAUUUUUCAUCUCAGUUGACAUGAGGCGAGUUCAAUGAUAAAAGUUAAAAAUAUAUAUAUA